rnacentral:rRNA from 1 species
GAUGAACGCUGGCGGCGUGCUUAACACAUGCAAGUCGAACGAUGAAGCCCAGCUUGCUGGGUGGUAUAGUGGCGAACGGGUGAGUAACACGGGAGUAACCUGCCCUUAACUCUUGGAUAAGCCUGGGCGACUGGGUCUAUUACCGGAUAGGAGCUUCGACCUCCGGGUGGGUGCUGGGAAGAUUUAUCGGUUUUGGAUGGACUCGCGGCCUAUCAGCUUGUUGGUGGGGUAAUGGCCAACGAAGGCGACGGCGGGUAGCCGGCCCGAGAGGGUGACCGGCCACACUGGGACUGAGACACGGCCCAGACUCCUACGGGAGGCAGCAGGGGGGAAUAUUGCACAAUGGGCGCAAGCCUGAUGCAGCGACGCCGCGUGAGGGAUGACGGCCUUCGGGUUGUAAACCUCUUUCAGUAGGGAAGAAGCGAAAGUGACGGUACCUGCAGAAGAAGCACCGGCUAACUACGUG